UUUAUCUCUCAUGUCUAUCAUGCCUUCCAUUUCUUCCCAACCUUUUUUUAUCUUUGUUGCCUUUUGUGUCUACCUUUACUUCCUUCCUUUGAAUUUUUUGAUGGAUUGUUUAUGUAAUAUUGUUCAUUUGUAUCAGCCCAUCGAAAGAAUCAAUAACCAUUACCAGCUGUAUGUUUUUGACAAUCCCAAAAUAUUCUUUCAGGAUUAGUUGGUAUCCUUGACAUCUUAAGUUCAACAUAAAUUUCACAAUAACAAAUCUAAAUUGUCAUGGUGUUAGACAAAAUAUGCAAAAAAUUAGAGAAAAAAUAGGCUGAAAAUGCACAAAAAAAUAGGAGUAUAACUGCAGCCAAA
rnacentral:lncRNA from 1 species